rnacentral:rRNA from 1 species
CACCAAAGGAUUAGCCAUGCAUGUCCAGUAUAAACACGUCUUUAUACGGUGAAACUGCGAACGGCUCAUUAAAUCAGUUAUAGUUUAUUUGAUGGUGCAAUUGCUACAUGGAUAACUGUGGUAAUUCUAGAGCUAAUACAUGCGUUCAGGCCCCGACUUCUGGGAGGGGUGUAUUUAUUAGAUAAAAAACCAACGCGGCUCAAACCGCCCGUUCGGUGAUUCAUGAUAACUUCUCGAAUCGCAAGGCCUCGCGCCGGCGAUGCUUCAUUCAAAUAUCUGCCCUAUCAACUUUCGAUGGUAGGAUAGAGGCCUACCAUGGUUUUGACGGGUAACGGGGAAUAAGGGUUCGAUUCCGGAGAGGGAGCCUGAGAAACGGCUACCACAUCCAAGGAAGGCAGCAGGCGCGCAAAUUACCCAAUGCCGACACGGCGAGGUAGUGACAAUAAAUAACAAUGUAGGGCCCUUUCGGGCCUUACAAUUGGAAUGAGUACAAUCUAAACCCCUUAACGAGGAACGAUUGGAGGGCAAGUCUGGUGCCAGCAGCCGCGGUAAUUCCAGCUCCAAUAGCGUAUAUUAAAGUUGCUGCCGUUAAAACGCUCGUAGUUGAACUUCAGGCCCUGGUCGGGUGGUCCGCCAGACCGGCGUCCAUCGUCCGGCCGGGCCUUACCUCCUGGUGAUCCGGCGUGCCCUUAGCUGGGUGCGUCGGGGAACCGGGACCUUUACCUUGAGAAAAUUAGAGUGUUCAAAGCAGGCCUGUGCCCGAAUACAUUAGCAUGGAAUAACGAAAUAGGACGUGCGGUUCUAUUUUGUUGGUUUCUAGUAACCGCCGUAAUGAUUGAUAGGGACAGUCGGGGGCGUUAGUAUUCGGCCGUCAGAGGUGAAAUUCUUGGAUCGGUCGAAGACUGACUACUGCGAAAGCAUUCGCCAAGGAUGUUUUCAUUAAUCAAGAACGAAGGUCAGGGGAUCGAAAACGAUCAGAUACCGUUGUAGUCCUGACAGUAAACGAUGCCGACUAGGGAUCGGGCGACCACAACCAAAACGCGUCGCCCGGCACCUUACGAGAAAUCAAAGUCUUUGGGUUCGGGGGGGAGUAUGGUCGCAAGGCCUGAAACUUAAAGGAAUUGACGGAAGGGCACCACCCAGUAGUGUC